GCGCGAUGAUUUUCUGUGAUUAUCCGGCGGAAUACAACCCGAAGAUCCACGAACCUUACGAUCCUGUCCGUUACUACGGCAA
rnacentral:lncRNA from 1 species